CUGGUUGAUCCUGCCAGACCCGACUGCUAUCAGAGUGGGACUAAGCCAUGCGAGUCGACGCCGUAAGGCGUGGCAUACGGCUCAGUAACACGUAGUCAACAUGCCCAAGGGACGUGGAUAACCUCGGGAAACUGAGGAUAAACCGCAAUAGGCCAAGAUUUCUGGAAUGGAUCAUGGCUGAAAUCUAUAUGGCCCUUGGAUUGGACUGCGUCCGAUCAGGCUGUUGGUGAGGUAAUGGCCCACCAAACCUAUAACCGGUACGGGCUCUGAGAGGAGGAGCCCGGAGAUGGGUACUGAGACAAGGACCCAGGCCCUAUGGGGCGCAGCAGGCGCGAAACCUCUGCAAUAGGCGAAAGCUUGACAGGGUUACUCUGAGUGAUUUCCGUUAAGGAGAUCUUUUGGCACCUCUAAAAAUGGUGCAGAAUAAGGGGUGGGCAAGUCUGGUGUCAGCCGCCGCGGUAAUACCAGCACCCCGAGUGGUCGGGACGUUUAUUGGGCCUAAAGCAUCCGUAGCCGGUUCUACAAGUCUUCCGUUAAAUCCACCUGCUUAACAGAUGGGCUGCGGAAGAUACUAUAGAGCUAGGAGGCGGGAGAGGCAAGCGGUACUCGAUGGGUAGGGGUAAAAUCCGUUGAUCCAUUGUAGACCACCAGUGGCGAAGGCGGCUUGCCAGAACGCGCUCGACGGUGAGGGAUGAAAGCUGGGGGAGCAACCGGAUUAGAUACCCGGGUAGUCCCAGCUGUAAACGAUGC
rnacentral:rRNA from 1 species